rnacentral:rRNA from 1 species
UACAGAGGUCUCAAGCGUUUGUUCGGAUUCAUUGGGCGUAAAGGGUGUGUAGGUGGCGCGCUAAGUCGGGUGUGAAAUUUCGGAGCUUAACUCCGAAACUGCAUUCGAUACUGCCGUGCUUGAGGACUGGAGAGGAGACUGGAAUUUACGGUGUAGCAGUGAAAUGCGUAGAGAUCGUAAGGAAGACCAGUGGCGAAGGCGGGUCUCUGGGACAGUUCCUGACACUGAGGCACGAAGGCCAGGGGAGCAAACGGG